ensembl:snRNA U6 U6 spliceosomal RNA
GUGGCUCACUUUGGCAGCACAUACUCUAAAAUUGGAAUGAUACAGAGAUUAUUAUGGCCCCUGCACAAGAAUGACAUGCAACUCUGUGAAGCGUUCCAUAAAACA